rnacentral:lncRNA from 1 species
AAACGACAUAUAAAUACUAUAACAGUGUGCUAAUUUACAAUGAAAAAAUUUAAAAAUUUAAAUUCUUCUUUUGAAGGCUUAACUUAAAAAAUAAGAAUCUUCUUAGGAUUUUGAAAUACUUAAAUAUAUCAGAACUUAAAUAAGAAGUCAAAUGUCUCUAAGACCCCCUUUUAAGACUCUUUUUAAGACCUCUUCUAAGACUUGAAGACU